AUUCUUGGAUAGUUAGAACUAAAAGUAAAAUUGUGUUUGGUUUGUAAUAUGGUAUUUCUAGAAAAAAUAAAAUUAUGUUUGGUUAAUUUUAUGGAAUAAUAGAAGAUAGUGGAAAAAAAUGAUCAUUUGAAUUUGAUAUAAAAUAUAAUUUAGCAAAAAUAAUUUCUUAUAAAAACAACUAUUGUAAAAAUAAUUUGUUAUAGUAUUUAAUAAAAAUAAUUUAUCAUAAUAUUUAAAUAUAAUUUAUUAUAAUAGUUAAAUAUAAAUAAUAUGUAUUAAUAUAGUACAAUUAAUAUAAAAUCCCCCUACUA
rnacentral:lncRNA from 1 species